rnacentral:rRNA from 1 species
AUUGAACGCUGGCGGCAGGCCUAACACAUGCAAGUCGAACGAGUGGCGGACGGGUGAGUAAUGUCUGGGAAACUGCCUGAUGGAGGGGGAUAACUACUGGAAACGGUAGCUAAUCCCGCAUACCAUCAGAUGUGCCCAGAUGGGAUUCGCUAUUGGGUGGGGUAACGGCUCACCAAGGCGACGAUCCCUAGCUGGUCUGAGAGGAGGACCAGCCACACUGGAACGGCGACACGGUCCAGACUCCUACGGGAGGCAGCAGGGGGGAAUAUUGCACAAUGGGCGCAAGCCUGAUACAGCCAUGCCGCGUGUAUGAAGAAGGCCUUCGGGUUGUAAAGUACUUUCAGCGGGGAGGCGGUACCCGCAGAAGAAGCACCGGCUAACUCCGUGCCAGCAGCCGCGGUAAUUC